AACGAACGCUGGCGGCAGGCCUAACACAUGCAAGUCGAACGCCCCGCAAGGGGAGUGGCGCACGGGUGAGUAACGCGUGGGAAUAUGCCCUUCGGUUCGGAAUAACACAGGGAAACUUGUGCUAAUACCGGAUACGCUCUACGGAUGAAAGAUUUAUCGCCGAGGGAGUAGCCCGCGUAGGAUUAGCUAGUUGGUGAGGUAAAGGUCCACCAAGGCGACGAUCCUUAGCUGGUCUGAGAGGAUGAUCAGCCACACUGGGACUGAGACACGGCCCAGACUCCUACGGGAGGCAGCAGUGGGGAAUAUUGGACAAUGGGCGAAAGCCUGAUCCAGCCAUGCCGCGUGAGUGAUGAAGGCCUUAGGGUUGUAAAGCUCUUUCGCCAGGGAAGAUAAUGACGGUACCUGGAAAAGAAGCCUCGGCUAACUCCGUGCCAGCCGCCGCCGUAA
rnacentral:rRNA from 1 species